rnacentral:rRNA from 1 species
CCUACGGGAGGCAGCAGUAGGGAAUAUUGCACAAUGGAGGAAACUCUGAUGCAGCGAUGCCGCGUGAGUGAAGAAGGCCUUUGGGUUGUAAAGCUCUUUCGUCGGGGAAGAAAAUGACUGUACCCGAAUAAGAAGGUCCGGCUAACUUCGUGCCAGCAGCCGCGGUAAUACGAAGGGACCUAGCGUAGUUCGGAAUUACUGGGCUUAAAGAGUUCGUAGGUGGUUAAAAAAGUUGGUGGUGAAAUCCCAGAGCUUAACUCUGGAACUGCCAUCAAAACUUUUUAGCUAGAGUAUGAUAGAGGAAAGCAGAAUUUCUAGUGUAGAGGUGAAAUUCGUAGAUAUUAGAAAGAAUACCGAUUGCGAAGGCAGCUUUCUGGAUCAUUACUGACGCUGAGGAACGAAAGCAUGGGUAGCGAAGAGGAUUAGAUACCCUCGUAGUCCAUGCCGUAAACGAUGUGUGUUAGACGUUGGAAAUUUAUUUUCAGUGUCGCAGCGAAAGCAUUAAACACACCGCCUGGGGAGUACGACCGCAAGGUUAAAACUCAAAGGAAUUGACG